UGUCUCUUCAUUUCAGUUUUAUUGUCCAUAUGUGCAUUGUUGCGGGAUCCAAACCCAGACGAUCCCUUAGUUCCAGACAUAGCUCGAAUGUACAAGACCGACAACAAAAAAUUCAACGAAAUGGCAAAAGAAUGGACCCGCAAGUAUGCCAUGUAAAGAAAAUAAUAACAUCCAAGAGAAGAGGAAGAACAUGCUGAAUUUUUUUGCAUCUUGUUACAGAUGAAGCUGAGUGAAAGAAUGUACUGUUGCAAUUCCUCUAAAAAUGGAAGCAAUUACAAGUCAUUUAAUAUGGUGUUCUUCAUCUUGUAUUAUUAUUAUUAUUAUGGGUAUUAUUAUUAUUAAAAUCAUCGGGAACUAUC